CAACCAAACCAGCCCCGCUGGGUGUUGGGCGUCGCUGUCCGCCGCGCGCCUCAAAGUCUUCGGCGGAAGCCGCCCGUUCCUCUGCGUGAUGCAUCGUCGUCGCUCGGGACACGGGGGUGAGCGCCCGGAAAACGUCGGCGGAGACGCCGACUCCA
rnacentral:misc_RNA from 1 species